GCGUUUGGGUAUUAACUGGAGGACACUCUUUUCUUGAUAAAAGAAAACAACCGAGAUUCCCCCAGUAGCGGCCAGCAACGGGGAGCAGCCCAGAGUCAACAUCAAUAUUUACCACAGGAGAAGGGUCUGGAAAAGCCGGCAAUAAAGGGUGACAGCCCCGUAUCUAAAGCGGUAAGUGUUGUGAACUCGAAGAGUAGGGCGGGACACGUGUUAUCCUGUCUGAAUAUGGGGGGACCAUCCUCCAAGGCUAAAUACUCCUGACUGACCGAUAGUGAACCAGUACCGUGAGGGAAAGGCGAAAAGAACCCCGGCGAGGGGAGUGAAAUAGAACCUAAAACCGUGUACGUACAAGCAGUAGGAGCACCCGAAAGGGUGUGACUGCGUACCUUUUGUAUAAUGAGUCAGCGACUUAUAUUCUGUAGCAAGGUUAACCGCAUAGGAGAGCCGUAGGGAAACCGAGUCUUAACUGGGCGUUAAGUUGCAGGGUUUAGACCCGAAACCCGGUGAUCUAGCCAUAAGCAGGUUGAAGGUUGGGUAAACACUAACUGGGAGGACCCA
rnacentral:rRNA from 1 species